UCAAGAGAAAGCAUUAAUGUCAUGUGAUGCUAAGAUAAGGAAGAACAACAGCAGCAACAGCAGCAACAACAAAAACCAGAAGCUUUUGUUCAAAGCGAGCAGAAGCAUCUGGAAGGUGUUAAAGGAGGCUGGAAGCAGCUCAAACAUGUGUGUGGUGCUCCAAGAGGACUCUGAAUUGUAGGUACUGUACCUACCCUGCUCAAUGGAUAAAUCAGCUCUACUUGGCCAGGCCAUUCCUGCCUUAGAAGAUCAGCCCCAGUCCUUGUGCUCAGCAGCAUUCUCCAGAGAGACAGAACCAACAGGAAACAGGUGAGUAUACAGGGAAAUAGAUUAGAGGAGCUGGCCCACACAGCUGUGGAGGCUUCCCCACAAAAGACAACAGAUGUCUGCAAGCUGGGAACUCAGGGAGAUGAGUAGCAUAGCUCAGUCUUACUCUGAAAGCCUCAGACCAGGGAAGCAGAUGGGGACCCGAGGAUCACAAGUAGGUGAUUUAAAUACUGAAAACCACAGGUCAGGAACCUGAAGCCCAGGCAUCCAGAGAUGGGAGGUAAUUGUUCAUCUAGUUCUAGAGGAUAGAUGGACUAAGUCACCCUUCCACUGCUUUUGUUCUCUUUGAGCUCCUGUCUUCCACUGGGUGGCCGAAAAUCACAGAUUCCUGUACACUCACCCACAGCGAGGCAGUGCAGACACCAGUGGAACAAACUUCCCAUCUGAGGCCAAGUAACCUCUCCCAUAGGAAGUGGAGUUCCAUGCUAGCCCUGCAGUUGAUCGAAGCACUUCAGGACAGGAGAGAGACUCCUUCCAAGAUCCUGCAGUGUGUAUCAUCCUCUCCACUCUUUCAUCCUUGUUUAUACUUGUGCCACUGUCAUCACUCUUAUCACCUAAACAAGCAGUCCUAGGAUCUCAAAGUGCAUCUAUUGUCCUGAAAAUAAUUCCAAGUUUAGCCUCCUUUAUGGCAGAGUGGUACUCCGCUAUGUAGAAAUUCCCCAUAUUUUUUAGCCAUGGGCUUCUUCUAAGAUUUACAUAUUAUGUUGGUUUUCUAUAAACAUGAGUACAUAUGUAUCACUCUUAUAUGAUGUCUGUAAUUCUUUCAAGAAGAUCCCUAGUAGGAGACUAACUGGGUCAAAUGAAAUUGCUAAUUUUUGUUUUUUUGAGGAAUCUGUAAGUGUAAUCAAUCAGACAAGCUUAAAUACCACAUGAUUUCUCUUGUAUAAGAAAUCCAAAAUACAAAUAAAAAUCAAAAUAAAAAAUAGAUAAUAGAAAGUAGGGAGAUAGAUUUUGUUCAAGUAGGAAGAAGAUUAAAAGUUGGGAGAGGGAAAAGAGAUGAAAAAAUCAUUAAAAGCAUUAUGUAUAUGUACCAGCCACACACAAGGACUGUAGUCACAUAAUGUAAUCAUGCCUUAGUAUCAAUUAAAAGCUGAAAAAAGAACCCAAACUAUGCAGCAGAGGUAUCCAGGCAGUCAUGAUGGAGUCCAGCAGCAGGGGAAGACCAGGGGAACUGGGGGAGCAAGGAAUGAGAGACAGACUUCUCUUUUGAAACUUCCCCAGGAAGGAAAGGCAGAUAGUGAAAGGGGUGAAUCACACCUGCAAAGGCCAAAGCCCUGUUAUACAUUUGACAUUCACCAUCAUGUUUGCUUCUAAGAGCAACACUGCUCUGAAGCUGUCAUAUCCCUCUGUUACAGAUGAAGAAAAGGAUGCUAUGUGUCAGGGUCUGGAUGUCGUGUUAGACCUUUCUAGCUAUAUCUAAGUCUAGGUUUCUUCUUAUUUCAGUUCAGCUCAAGAAAAUUUAUAAUGAGGACCAGAGACUCAUAAGCAGGAAGAGAAAUCUAAAAUCUUUCUCUUAGAUUUACCACUCUGUGUAUUUCUUCAGGCUCCUUUGACCCACCGUCCAUGUUUUGACAUGGCUUUUUGACCACUAGAAGCUUGGCACUGUUUGCAGGCCAGUGAUUAUCACAACCUUUCCUGAACUAAUAGCUGGAUUAAGAAAAAAAUCUUUGAUUUUUACACCACUGGCCCAUAAUCUUCCUUAAAUUCUAUUUUUUGAACAUCUUUUAACUGAAUAUCUUUUAUUCAAAAAUUUGCUCUGAUACUUAACAUAGCUUUCCAGUGACAAACACUUAAACACAUUGCUGGCUUUAUGAAUUCAAUUAGAGGCUUCUGAGUGCAUUUCUGCCUUCAUUUUAAAAAAAGAAAAAAAAAAAGCAGAGAAAAACACCUGACAAACUCUCCUUUUCGAGGUUUCGAUUUGCCUGUUAUUUAGACCUCAGAAACCAAGUGCUAGACAGACUCCCCUGGAUACCAAGAGUAAUUCAUUCUUAACCACAGUUACUGUUCAUAAUGUGAUAGAUUUUUCUUCUCUCUCUCUUCUUCCUUUUGCUAAAUGGUUCUAUAACUUUUAAACAAUUUCUUUGAAGCUCUUUUUCUCCCUUUUAUAAAUAUAAAUCUAGUAGUUCACCUCGUGCAAGUGUGAUGUCCUGUCUUUACCAUGAAACACAGUGUACUGCUUCUACUUUAGGAGUAAAGCACCCUUGAGAUUUGUGAGAUAUUUUCAUUUUCAUUAAGAGUGAAAUGCUAUACUUUGUCUUGUGCAGAUACUUGCAAACAUAGAUCUCAACAGAAGAGAAACACUUAAUAGCCUGGGAAAUAAUUCCAGUAUGUGGGAAAUACCACAGAGAAGAGAUGAUCAUCCCAGCCUUGUGUCAGUAUAUUCUCUUCAUUGCGGACCGUCCUGUCAUGCUUACUCCCCCAACCCUUCCUUUUCUAACCCAUCUUUGUACUGUUUCUCAAUAUGAACUUCCUGCCUAAAUCAGGUAAAAUAGGUUUCAGCCUAGAGUAGGACACUCCGAUCCCUUCCCAGAGAGGGUUUGCUGUCUGUGUUACCGUCCACUAUUGUAAUCGCAAAUACUGCAUAGUUAUGCAAGUAUGGUAAUUCCUUUCCAGUUUCCUUCACCAUCCAAAAAGUUAUAUUUGUAAUCCCAUUGAGACAUUAUUGGAAUUCCAGCAAGUUAAUUCCUAUCUACCACCUCCAAUACAACCCAUGGCAAGAGUAACCAAGACACAUUCCAAGUGAAGGGCAGCCAAGGGGUCCUAAAGUCCAAUCCUUUUGAGGAUGUGCGGACAAAGGCCCUGAUCCUAGGCUUCUUCCAGAAUUUAUUAUCUUGUGAAGAAGUGGGGUGACUGAGGGAUGAGUGACAGUGAGGAUGGAGGGAACUAGUGAGUAACUGGAGCUGGCUAGCCAGGUGGGGAGAAAAGUAUCUCUGCAAAAUGCAGAGAUAAAGAUAUGCAGAAGGAUCAAUUUACAUAAUUCAAUUAAGGUGGCAGCUGAAUUGUUUUUGGAGGCUGUUGCUCUGGUUUCUGAUGUGUAAACUUUUGUGCCCUGGAGAGUUAUAGCCUCUUUACCUUGAGGCUCAUACCUAGUUGACAUUCCUGAAGCUGUUGGCUUUACCAUCCCGAUGUGAUCGCUGAUCACGUCUUUUACAGGAAACAGGAGACUGUCAGCUUUAGAGAUUACAUACCAGUACCUUGGCUAGCUUUAUUUGCAGUGCUUAGAGUCAAAUGAAGAGAGAAGAAAAUACCACAGCCAGCUCUGUACAUAUCAGUAUAAGGAAAUAAGUCUCCCAAUAAUCAAAGUUGCAGCAAUUGUUCUGCAUUCAAGGGGAGCCCCUGGAGUUUGUUUCCCACAGUCCACACUCAACCCUCUCAGCGUACUGCAAAGUAAGUAUGGUUUGGGUUCAGAAAUCACCUGUCCCAUCUUCCCUUCAACUCUCAAUCCCUUCAAAUUCCUCAUUUUGUUCCUUUUUCUUUUAGAAAUAAGUAACAUUAUUGAAGGUAUGUAGAUGUUUUAAGUGCUUCAAGUGCUUUGAGAUGGACAUUAUGGAAAACACCUGUUUUUUAAUGAAACAAACCUGCUUGAUCAGAAGGGAACCACCUGUGUUAUCCGAAUCCCAGUUUGAGAACUUUAAGAAAAAGAGACUUAUUUACCUGAAGCAAGGAAAAGAUUGAACUUUUUCAAUGACAAUAAUUUUCAGACAAAUUUCGUGACAGAUUUCAUGAAAAAUCAUGGAAAGUAUGGACACUUUUACAAUGGCUCCUGAUUUCCAUUUAGACAUACUUUUUUCCUUUAAACUUGGACAUGUAAACCUACGAUUACUUUAUAACAAUAUUAAUAUAUUUUUAGACAUUUAAAUUAAUUCCCCAGUGAUUAUUUAUUCUAAAAUUAGACUGUUCAUAUGUGCUAAAUCAUUAUUUCCUUGUGUUUUGUGUUCUUAGAUUCAGUAACUUUUUGACUUUCUGUUUUAUUUAUUUAUUAGACUAAAGUUUUUUUUUUUUUUCAAUAAAGCAUUUUAAAAUGCUUGAGCCUCUUUCCAAAAGGCCACGUCUGUCCAUGAGAGCUCUGUUUGCCAGGCUGCAGGUGCUGGCGUAAGGAUAAAUGCUGGGUUCUCUGUAGGUGUCAGCGCUUGAGAACCUCGUUGCUACCUGGGUCCCUGACUACAUAGCACCCUAUUUAUUAUCUCCUUGACCCAGAGAAGAAUGAAGGAAGCAUAGCUGACAAGAAUCAAACUCAUGAAAAACAGGAUCCUGAUGCUGUUGCAAUAUGCAACAAAAGGUGGAGCCUGAAAAAAUAUUUCUCCCUCCAAGACAGCGUGGAGGAAACUCGUUAUUUUCCAUCUGCUUUCUUCACACUUACUCUCAGUGUGAAGUGAAAGCAAAGUUUUAAAACUUUUUCCCCACUGCGAAGAAAAUAUAGUUUAGAAAACUGCAACCUAGAAAACGAAGCAAUUAAGAACUGUCUAGCUGUGUGGAUCUGGCCCCAGCUCAACUUAAAGCAAUCACUUCAUUUCUAUGCAUUGAGACCCACAUGAGAACCAAACUCUGCAAUGUGUUAAGUGACUUGACAUUUUAAUAAACAAACAAACAAGCUGCCAUGGAAUAUCCUUUAAAAUUAUAAACACAGGGAACUUUAUGAGAUGCAAAUGGGCAUGAGAUGGUUCUGCAAAGCAAGCACCCUCUGUGUUUUGAAAUGAGGUACCAUGGGAAAAUUGAGUCUACCAACAGAUCAUCACCAUUUCUGUCAAAAGCUUAAACUUUCUUAAAGUUUCUUCAGACCCCUACUUGGGAACUACAAACGUAUAAAUUCAUUUUUGUACAAGUACAUUGUAAAGGCUAUUGUUUAAUAUGUUGGUAAUGUUAGAGAUUAAAGGUUUUUUGAGCAAAAACAA